rnacentral:tRNA from 1 species
GCUCUAUUAGUUUAUAUUAAUAAAAUGUAAGUUUGAAGCACUUAAGAAUAUAAGGAGUU